GGUUACUGCUAUCGGUGUCGCCUAAGCCAUGCGAGUCAUAUGUUCGUAAGAACAUGGCGUACUGCUCAGUAACACGUGGAUAACCUGCCCUUGGGUCCGGCAUAACCCCGGGAAACUGGGGAUAAUUCCGGAUAACGCACAUAUGCUGGAAUGCUUUAUGCGUAAAAUGGAUUCGUCUGCCCAAGGAUGGGUCUGCGGCCUAUCAGGUAGUAGUGGGUGUAAUGUACCUACUAGCCUACGACGGGUACGGGUUGUGAGAGCAAGAGCCCGGAGAUGGAUUCUGAGACAUGAAUCCAGGCCCUACGGGGCGCAGCAGGCGCGAAAACUUUACAAUGCGGGAAACCGUGAUAAGGGGACACCGAGUGCCAGCAUCCUAUGCUGGCUGUCCGGGUGUGUAAAAUACACCUGUUAGCAAGGGCCGGGCAAGGCCGGUGCCAGCCGCCGCGGUAACACCGGCGGCCCGAGUGGUGAUCGUGAUUAUUGGGUCUAAAGGGUCCGUAGCCGGUUUGGUCAGUCCUCCGGGAAAUCUGACAGCUUAACUGUUAGGCUUUCGGAGGAUACUGCCAGACUUGCAACCGGGAGAGGUAAGAGGUACUACAGGGGUAGGAGUGAAAUCUUGUAAUCCCUGUGGGACCACCUGUGGCGAAGGCGUCUUACCAGAACGGGUUCGACGGUGAGGGACGAAAGCUGGGGGCACGAACCGGAUUAGAUACCCGGGUAGUCCCAGCCGUAAACGAUGCUCGCUAGGUGUCAGGCAUGGCGCGACCGUGUCUGGUGCCGCAGGGAAGCCGUGAAGCGAGCCACCUGGGAAGUACGGCCGCAAGGCUGAAACUUAA
rnacentral:rRNA from 1 species